CGGUAAUUCCAGCUCCAAUAGCGUAUACUAAAGUUGUUGCAGUUAAAAAGCUCGUAGUUGGAUUUCUGCGGGGACGGAGCGGCCGGACGCAACUUGCGUCUCGAGCUAGCGCUUUCCCCACAUCCUGCCGCGAACCGUGCUACCAUUAGUUUGGUGGCGCUGGGGAUCGGCUCGAUUACUUUGAGAAAAAUAGAGUGUUCAAAGCAGGCCACAUGCCUUGAAUAAGUUAGCAUGGAAUAAUGACUAAGGACUUUGGUUCUUUUCGUUGGUGUUCGGGACUGAAGUAAUGAUUGAUAGGGACAGUUGGGGCGGUCCGUAUUCCAAAGCGAGAGGUGAAAUUCUUAGACCUUCGGAAGACGAACAGCUGCGAAAGCGUUCCGCAAGGAUGUUCCCUUUGAUCAAGAACGAAAGUUGGGGGAUCGAAGACGAUCAGAUACCGUCGUAGUCUCAACUAUAAACUAUACCAGCUAGGGAUCGGUCAACGUUUAAUCAUUCGACUUGAUCGGCACCUUAUGAGAAAUCAAAGCAUCUGGGUUCCGGGGGGAGUAUGGUCGCAAGGCUGAAACUUAAAGGAAUUGACGGAAGGGCACCACCAGCCGUGGAGCCUGUGGCUUAAUUUGACUCAACACGGGAAAACUUACCAGGUCCAGACAUAGUAAGGAUUGACAGAUUGAUAGCUCUUUCUUGAUUCUGUGGGUGGUGGUGCAUGGCCGUUCUUAGUUGGUGGAGUGAUUUGUCUGGUUAAUUCCGUUAACGAACGAGACCCCAGCCUGCUAAAUAGCGCGGUUGAGCUUUGCUCGAUGUGAGCUUCUUAGAGGGACUAUGAUGCGCGAUAGCACAUGGAAGUUUGGGGCAAUAACAGGUCUGUGAUGCCCUUAGAUGUUCUGGGCCGCACACGGGCUACACUGGCGCCUGCAACGAGCAUAUCAGCUGGCCCGAGAGGGUCUUGGCUAAUCUUUUGAACCGGCGCCGUGCUUGGGAUUGACCAUUGCAAUUGUUGGUCAUGCAACGAGGAAUGCCUUGUAAACGCGAGUCAUCAGCUCGCAUUGAAUACGUCCCUGCCCUUUGUACACACCGCCCGUCGCUCCUACCGAUGAAUGUUCCGAUGAAAUUUUCGGAGAGCGCCAGAGAACGGGGCUCUGCCUUGCAGAUCUGGAGGCUCAAAGUCACUUAAAUCUGAACAUUUCGAGGAAGGAGAAGUCGUAACAAGGUAACC
rnacentral:rRNA from 1 species